rnacentral:tRNA from 1 species
UCCCUGGAGGUCCAGUGGUUAAUACUCUGCACUUCCACUGUAGGCACGUGGGUUCAAUCCCCAGUCAGGGAA